rnacentral:siRNA from 1 species
GUAAACCCGUAAUUUUCCCGCCA